CCUACGGGUGGCAGCAGUAGGGAAUCUUUCACAAUGGGCGAAAGCCUGAUGGAGCAACGCCGCGUGCAGGAUGAAGGCCUUCGGGUUGUAAACUGCUUUUAUAAGCGAGAAAUAUGAUGGUAACUUAUGAAUAAGGAUCGGCUAACUACGUGCCAGCAGCCGCGGUCAUACGUAGGAGCCGAGCAUUAUCCGGAGUGACUGGGUGUAAAGAGUUGCGUAGGUGGCAUAAUAAGUAGCUAGUGAAAUCUGGUGGGUCAACCAUUCAGACUAUUAGCUAAACUGUGAAGCUCGAGUCCGUGAGGGGUAACUGGAAUUUCUAGUGUAGGAGUGAAAUGCGUAGAUAUUAGGAGGAACACCAGUGGCGAAGGCAGGUUACUGGAACGUUUCUGACGCUAAGGCACGAAAGCGUAGGGAGCAAACGGGAUUAGAUACCCCGGUAGUC
rnacentral:rRNA from 1 species